rnacentral:rRNA from 1 species
UCCGGUUGAUCCUGCCAGACCUGACUGCUAUCGGAUUGAUACUAAGCCAUGCGAGUCGUUGUAGCAAUACAAGGCAUACGGCUCAGUAACGCGUAGUCAACCUAACCUAUGGACGGGAAUAACCUCGGGAAACUGAGAAUAAUGCCCGAUAGAACAUUAUGCCUGGAAUGGUUUAUGUUCCAAAUGAUUUAUCGCCAUAGGAUGGGACUGCGGCCUAUCAGUUUGUUGGUGAGGUAAUGGCCCACCAAGACUAUUACAGGUACGGGCUCUAAGAGGAGUAGCCCGGAGAUGGGUACUGAGACACGGACCCAGGCCCUAUGGGGCGCAGCAGGCGAGAAAACUUUGCAAUGUGCGAAAGCACGACAAGGUUAAUCCGAGUGAUUUCUGCUAAAGAGAUCUUUUGCUAGUCCUAGAAACACUAACGAAUAAGGGGUGGGCAAGUUCUGGUGUCAGCCGCCGCGGUAAAACCAGCACCUCAAGUGGUCAGGAUGAUUAUUGGGCCUAAAGCAUCCGUAGCCGGCUCUGUAAGUUUUCGGUUAAAUCUGUACGCUCAACGUACAGGCUGCCGGGAAUACUGCAGAACUAGGGAGUGGGAGAGGUAGACGGUACUCGGUAGGAAGUGGUAAAAUGCUUUGAUCUAUCGAUGACCACCUGUGGCGAAGGCGGUCUACCAGAACACGUCCGACGGUGAGGGAUGAAAGCUGGGGGAGCAAACCGGAUUAGAUACCCGGGUAGUCCCAGCUGUAAACUAUGCAAACUCAGUGAUGCAUUGGCUUGUGGCCAAUGCAGUGCUGCAGGGAAGCCGUUAAGUUUGCCGCCUGGGAAGUACGUACGCAAGUAUGAAACUUAAAGGAAUUGGCGGGGGAGCACCAUAAGGGGUGAAGCCUGCGGUUCAAUUGGAUUCAACGCCGGG